rnacentral:rRNA from 1 species
CCUACGGGGGGCAGCAGUGAGGAAUAUUGGUCAAUGGGCGCAGGCCUGAACCAGCCAAGUCGCGUGAGGGAAGACUGCCCUAUGGGUUGUAAACCUCUUUUAUAAGGGAAGAAUAAUGACUACGUGUAGUCAGAUGCCCGUACCUUAUGAAUAAGCAUCGGCUAACUCCGUGCCAGCAGCCGCGGUAAUACGGAGGAUGCGAUCGUUAUCCGGAUUUAGUGGGUUUAAAGGGUGCGUAGGCGGUAAUUUAAGUUAGUGGUAAAACGUCGGGGCUUCACCUUAAUUUGCCAUUAAUACUGUAAAACUUGAGUUCAGACGAGGUAGGCGGAAUAAGGUAAGUAGCGGUGAAAUGCUUAGAUAUA